rnacentral:rRNA from 1 species
GACAGAGGGUGCAAACGUUGUUCGGAAUUACUGGGCGUAAAGCGCGUGUAGGCGGUUAUGCAAGUCGGGUGUGAAAGCCCGGAGCUCAAUUCCGGAAGUGCAUUCGAUACUGCGUAGCUAGAGUACUGGAGAGGAUGGUGGAACUCUCGGUGUAGAGGUGAAAUUCGUAGAUAUCGAGAAGAACACCGGUGGCGAAGGCGGCCAUCUGGACAGAAACUGACGCUCAUGCACGAAAGCUAGGGGAGCAAACAGG